CCUACGGGUGGCAGCAGUGGGGGAUAUUGCACAAUGGAGGAAACUCUGAUGCAGCGACGCCGCGUGAGGGAAGACGGUCUUCGGAUUGUAAACCUCUGUCUUUGGGGAAGAAAAUGACGGUACCCAAAGAGGAAGCUCCGGCUAACUACGUGCCAGCAGCCGCGGUAAUACGUAGGGGGCAAGCGUUAUCCGGAUUUACUGGGUGUAAAGGGAGCGUAGACGGCAGCGCAAGUCUGGAGUGAAAUGCCGGGGCCCAACCCCGGACUGCUUUGGAAACUGUUUGACUGGAGUGCAGGAGAGGUAAGUGGAAUUCCUAGUGUAGCGGUGAAAUGCGUAGAUAUUAGGAGGAACACCAGUGGCGAAGGCGGCUUACUGGACUGUAACUGACGUUGAGGCUCGAAAGCGUGGGGAGCAAACAGGAUUAGAUACCCUUGUAGU
rnacentral:rRNA from 1 species